rnacentral:lncRNA from 1 species
CCCUUGUAUAUUUUAUUGUUGCUCCUUAAUUAUUUGUUGUCAUUUUUUGUAAAAGAAGAUGUACUUCAGUUUAUUUUAGUAAAUACUUUAACCCUUUUUUUCUUAAAACUGCAUUAUUGGUUAAAGUCUUGUAAGUAAGGUCUACACCUGUUGUAUUUGGCGCAUGUGACAAAUACAAUUUGAUUUGAUUUGAAGAGAGAAACUUGAACCAGAGUAAUGGAGUAACAAAGAAAUCAAUCUCCGAACUUUGAAGAAAGGGCCAAUGAGACUGAGGUCUGUGGUAUUUCCUGGGUCGGGCCCUUAUAAAUCAGCCUCCGCGGGAUAUGCGGACGUGAGGGGACAGGUUCCUAGUCAUGAAACUCAUUUUGGAUUUAAAGCCGCCUGCAUUGCCCCCAGUGAUUGAACAAGUGGACGCGUGUGUUUGACAGUCCAACCGUGCGUUAAUGAGAUCGCAAACCAACACCGGCCGCAACUGGAAUUAGUGGUGUUUGCCCUCCCUUCUCCCAUUCCCCACCUUCCCCUCUCUCCUAAUUCUCUUCAUCCACUGGCUUUAUUAGAAAGUGUACAUGAGGUAGCAGAGUUGAAAAAUGAGUUGGAGUCAAUCUGUAGUCUGAUGGACGUGGUUUGUUCAGGUACAGAGGGGGGAUGACCAAUGAAACAGCAUUGCUCUGGUUUCACACAGUGAUGCACAUACACAUGCGCAAGAACAGAGCACACACAGACACGCCCGGCAAGCGCACACACACACACACACACACACCCACACACACACACGUGCCGCAGUGAAGUAAUUAGAUGAAAGGGACCUUUUGGUGUGAGAGUGAGAGAGGGCAGAGGGGAGGUGGCGGUAGUGUUUUGUAACAUAUUUCAUGUAGCACGUUGCCAACCUUUGGGCUUUUCAGCUCCUGACCAAGCACUGAAUGUUCUCAUGCAGUAAAUUAUAAGGGUGUUGGAACGAAAAACCUCUCACAGAUGAUAAUGAUAAUUUUAUGAACAUUAUACAAAAAUGAUACAUGUUUUCAUGCCAAAUCAAUAGUCUCCUGGUGUCUGCAGCCAACACACACAGUAGGCUGAGCAGAUGAAGCCAGACGACAGCGUGGUGGAAGAAGUAACGCAAACACGGCACCGCUUUUUAUCAAAGGUCUCCUGCCGCCUCAGACCGGUUUUAAUGAGGAAUUAGCCGUUUAAAAGAUAAAUAAACAAACUGUGAUUCUGCCACUCAGUUGCGUUUCGUUCUGUUCCGUGGACCCCCUGCCCCAUCAAAAGAAUAAACACACAUCUGAAAGAUCUCAAAGUCAAAGUUUCUUGCACCGCUAAAGUUUCUGGGCUUUUUGUGUCUCUAAAGGGUUCUGUUGUCUCUAAAGGGUUCUGUUGUCUCUAAUGGGUUCUAUUGUCUCUAAAGGGUUCUGUUGUCUCUAAAGGGUUCUGUUGUCUCUAAAGGGUUCUGUUGUCUCUAAGGGGUUCUGUUGUCUCUAAGGGGUUCUAUUGUCUCUAAAGGGUUCUGUUGUCUCUAAGGGGUUCUGUUGUCUCUAAGGGUUCUGUUGUCUCUAAGGGUUCUGUUGUCUCUAACGGUUUCUGUGACCUCUAACGGUUUCUGUUGUCUCUAAAGGGUUCUGUUGUCUCUAAGGGUUCUGGUGUCUCUAAAGGGUUCUGUUGUCUCUAAGGGUUCUGUUGUCUCUAAGGGUUCUGUUCUGGUCGUUUUACUUUCUUUCUCUCAUAUAUUUUUGUGGGGGUGAUAUCACUUUUUGGUGUCAGAUUGACCAAGUUAUUAGUGAGGAGCAGAGCGUCAGGGAGGAUGUAUUCUCUGUCAUUACAGCACAGAGAGAGUAUUUUCCUUUAGGUCGUUAGUAGGCAUAGCGGGACACACCACACACAUGCACGUACACACACACACACACACACACACACACACAAGCACACAAGCACACACACAUAUGCAAACACACUCAUAGGGAUUAGUGUGGGCAAGCAGUAGUGGAGGAUCACUACUGGGUUCUGCCUACGGCCUCGCUCAACAGGUAAUUAAAGACAACUGAGAAAAGACACACAGAGACAACAGCCUUCAACUCCUUGUACACACACACACACACACACCGCUCCGGCUCCACGAGGGUCCAAAAGGGGGCUUAGCCCACUCAGUUGAAAGUUGUGCCACCUUAGUUUUAGUUUUAUGUCCCUAUAUAAAAAUAGCAAACAUUUUCAAACGCUUGAGUGACAAGUUGCCGCAAAAUCUGUAUCUCCACUGCGCUGUGUCAGCACAAUGGAUAGAGCGUGUGUAG